GAUGAACGCUAGCGGCAGGCCUAACACAUGCAAGUCGAGGGGCAGCACAGAAACAGCAAUGUUUUGGUGGCGACCGGCGGACGGGUGCGUAACGCGUAUGCAACCUACCUUUAACAGGGGGAUAACGGAGAGAAAUUUCCACUAAUACCCCAUAACAUCGAUCAAGGCAUCUUGAUUGGUUGAAAACUCCGGUGGCUAAAGAUGGGCAUUGGUUGUAUUAGGUAGUUGGUGAGGUAAUGGCUCACCAAGCCUACGAUACAAAGGGGAACUGAGAGGUUAGCCCCCCACACUGGUACUGAGACACGGACAGACUCCUACGGGAGGCAGCAGUGAGGAAUAUUGGUCAAUGGGGGCAACCCUGAACCAGCCAUGCCGCGUGCAGGAAGACGGCUCUAUGAGUUGUAAACUGCUUUUAAACAGGGAUAAGGCACAGUGUGUAUACUGUGUUGAAGGUACUGUAGAAUAAGGAUCGGCUAACUCCGUGCCAGCCGCCGCGGUAA
rnacentral:rRNA from 1 species